GAAGGUUUUAUGUCAUUUUUUUUUUUAAAAAAAAAAGAGUGGUCUUUUUAGAGACAAAUUUUUGGUUGUGACCCCGAGAACUCUGGAACAUUGUCACAUCACAGUGGUAUUUAAGAGCAGGAGCCACGAUGUCUCCAAAGCUCUGGGGGUUUGCUGAUAACACCUGUGACUGCAAUGGCUGCCCAUGAGAAGAUCCUUUCUCUUCAGUGGCUACCACUGAGUGCCCCAGGGGCCAGCGGUGACCAGAUGGUUUUUGAUACAGUGUGAACUGGACGCACUGGAUGAAGAGCCCUGGCAGUUUCACAGCAUCGCUUGUUAACAGCCUAAAAGUGGUGCGCCUCCCCCUCACCCGCUCUUGAUGUCAAGCUGUAAAGAAUAAAUCAACCAAAGAAAGGAUGGUGAUAUGACUUCGUGGGGAAGAACGCAAGCUCUGUAAGGAGAAGGACCUUAGUUGAGUCCCCAGAAGCCACACCAAAACUAAGCACAGUUACAUGUACACAAGAUCCCAGCACUGGCAGGUAGAGACACGUCACUCCUGACAGCUCGCUAGCCAGGUAACCGAGGUGAAAUAACAGGAUCCCAUCUCAGUGACAGACGUAUCCCAGAGCAAUAAGGAGAAACAAAGGAAAGUAUGUGACAUCCACCUUUGUCUUCAGCAUGUGCACCGGGGCCCACAUGGGAAAUGCGUACACACACAAAAGAUAUCCUUACAAAGUUAAUUCGUAACACCACCAUAAGUCAUGCUGGCAAAAACUAUGCAAGAGAAGCAGAAAAAGAGAGUCAAUAAAAUAUUAUGUCCAACUUAAAUGAAACAUAAGCACUAUGGACAAACCCUUAACCUUCAGGUUCAACAUAUAUAGGCGCAAAUGCUCUACUGAAAAUAUGAACAAAAUCACCAAUAAUUAUAUGCCCAUAGUCUUAUACAGUUUUCAUCACGAUGUUAAAGAAUCAGGAAGGGAUAGGGAACAAUAGGGGUCUGGAGAAGUUAUCUUAUAUCAGAUGGUCAGGGAUAUACAAAAACACCCAAUAAUACAAAGUUAAAAACACUCAAGCAAUAUGAUUAGCUUCAUCAUGUCCAAGAUGAGCCCACCUGGACAGCUAGCCAGUCUCCAUUGCUAGCCCCAACACAAUGCUAAAAAACAAGGCCUUGGUGUUUUGUCACCUGAAGUACUGAGAGAGGAUGCUAGCUAGCUAUAACAGGUCCCAAAUUUUACUAGUACUUUUACAUGCAGACUUUUUAAAAGGCUUUCUUAAGCAAACGCCUACUUUUGUCAGGUACUUGGAGGAAGAAGGGUUGUAAUAUAUAAAGGGGUAAUGAAAUGCAUGGGAGGCUACUAGUUAAAGAAACUAAAGAAGCAAAGAUAGGCCCAGGAAUGAGUCAAGAGAAGGCCAAUAAGAUGUCUAGGGCAUUGGAGAGGAAGAGUGAGGAGAAGAGGUACGGGAAGAAGCCUGUUGACCUAAGUCUGAUCCCCAGAAAGCACAUGGUAAAAGGACACAACUGUUAUCUGAUCUCCACACAUGCCAUGGCACAUGUGUACACCUGUUCACAUGUGUACCUUCAGCAACAAAAUGAAUAAAAUAAAAAUGAAUAUUAAAAAAAGAUAUACAGGGAUGAAUGAAAAAAAAAAAGUCCAGAGGUGCACACAACCUUCAACCUUACAAAAUGUAUCUAGGGAAGCCAGAGAUUAGAGAAAAAAUAUUUCUGGUCACUAACCUAAAUUAAUGGAGGAGAAAGCACUCAAAAUGAACAAUUUCGUAUUAUUUAUGAACCUUUUCAAAUUUAUGAGAAACCUAUAUUUUAUGAAAGUAAGCGACUCGGUACAACACAGUUUAUUUAUCUGCCUGGAACACUAAGGAAAUCAUUCAGCUAGAAAACCAUGAAAUAUCUCUUUAGAGCUUCAAAGCUGCAAUCCAGACUCCAGAAAAUAGACAUGCUUAAACAAGUUGUUCUGUUACACGCAGAUAAAAACAGGGGAAAAUUGAUUUCUUUUCCUACUUUUUACCUGCUUGUUUAAAAAAAAAAGGUCACAAAAAACCCUAGAUAUCAUUAUUAUUAUAUACUCCACAAAAUUCCCUGACUUAAAUGGAUAAUCACUUGAAUACAGGCCUUGAAACUAUUUUCACAAGCACAUGCCUUGUCUUAAGCUGAAAGUUGCUUUCAGGACAGUGGGCAGCAUUUUAGUUUUAUGACACUGUCCUACUUUUGACAGAGUUCCUAUUUGGGAAGGAGAUAUUACAGGUGAGUGAGCCUGAAAGGCUCAUUUGCUCCCAUGGUAUCCCUGUGGACCUACGUUGGAGACGUGUGAGGAGUAAAUGAGACAUAUAACACCAGGGAAAAGGUUAGCCCGACACGGUAAAGCUUCACCCUUUGCUGCCUCUGCAUCAGUAGAGACCUUUCUGCUAGGCUGUGUAAUCUCAUGAAGCCUGGGAGAGACGCUGUAUUUCUCCUAUUCAAACACAAUUCCAGACAGGUUAGCUUGAUGGAGAAACUUUCUUAAUCUUUUCUAUGAAGAAGAAUUAGUCUGUCUGAGUUUUGAAGGUAACUUGACUUUCUUUGAAAGAGUAGAUUUAACUGUUUUCUUUAAUCAAGCUCAAGUGAGGUUCAGACUUCAACAGGAAUAAAUAGUAAAGGAAAAGGGGCAGAAAAACACUAGAUGUGAAUCUUCUAUACGGUGUAAAGUUAUUUUUAUCGGACACCAAAUAGUCUCAAAUGCUAUUAAUACUAGUGUAAAAUGAAUUUAACUAGCACUUUAAUGAAUUUCAAUGAAAAUUAAGCUAUGAGUUACUGAUAUAAGUUAGUAGUUGUCUUAGUCCUUUGUGGGGCAGUUCGUUUGCUGAAACUACACUGAAAGCUAACUAUGCGGAAUCACAGGAUUGUUCUGACCAGCAGGUGGAACAGAAUCUGUCUGUCUAAAAUAUGCUACAUCAUAUCGAUUAAAUAUAUCCAAGUUCUGGUUUAUCCCAAGAAAUUAAAAACAAAUAUUUUAGGAUUUGGUGACAAAUUCUAAACACCCUGAAAAUUGCAACUUCUAAAGUGCACAGAUUAUGACAGAUGCUGCGUAAAUCUGUCAAGUAAACAAAUGAGCAAAUUAAUGGACUGAUCACAAAAGGGCUAAUUCUAAAAAUGCAUAUCUCUCUAGCUACUCCUUGUUUAAUGUAUAAAAGGUUUUUAUGUGCGCUGUAUCAGUCAGCUCCUUAGCAUAUUCCUCUCCAGAGCAGUAAUUAUGUGCCACUUUAGUAGUACGUUACCCACAUUAGAAACAAAUUUUUGUUUAAUCUUCAGAAAGGCCAAAAACCAGGCCUUUGAUGACAAAAGGAGUGAAAGAUCCUUUGGAGAUGGGAUGAGGAAAACGGACAAAACCAAGAUUCCUGUUACCUGA
rnacentral:sRNA from 1 species